rnacentral:rRNA from 1 species
CUAGCGUUGUCCGGAAUCAUUGGGCGUAAAGAGCGUGUAGGCGGCCCGGUAAGUCCGCUGUGAAAGUCCAGGGCUCAACCCUGGGAUGCCGGUGGAUACUGUCGGGCUCGAGUCCGGAAGAGGAGUGUGGAAUUCCUGGUGUAGCGGUGAAAUGCGCAGAUAUCAGGAGGAACACCAAUGGCGAAGGCAGCACUCUGGGACGUGACUGACGCUGAGACGCGAAAGCGUGGGGAGCAAACAGG